UACGAAGGGGGCUAGCGUUGCUCGGAAUCACUGGGCGUAAAGCGCACGUAGGCGGAUUGCUAAGUCAGGGGUGAAAUCCUGGAGCUCAACUCCAGAACUGCCUUUGAUACUGGCGACCUUGAGUCCGGGAGAGGUGAGUGGAACUGCGAGUGUAGAGGUGAAAUUCGUAGAUAUUCGCAAGAACACCGAUGGCGAAGGCAGCUCGCUGGGACGGUACUGACGCUGAGACGCGAAAGCGUGGGGAGCGAACAGG
rnacentral:rRNA from 1 species